rnacentral:rRNA from 1 species
UACGUAGGAUGCAAGCGUUGUCCGGAAUUAUUGGGCGUAAAGAGCGAGCAGGCGGUUUGGAAAGUUGGACGUGAAAUUUUAGGGCUUGACCCUAAAGGGUCGUCCAAAACUCCCAGACUAGAGUGCAGGAGAGGAAAGCGGAAUUCCCGGUGUAGUGGUGAAAUGCGUAGAUAUCGGGAGGAACACCAGUGGCGAAGGCGGCUUCCUGGCCUGUUCUUGACGCUGAGGCGCGAAAGCUAGGGGAGCAAACGGG